rnacentral:rRNA from 1 species
AGCCUAACCCUAGCCCAACCACUAAUAAACCACAAACCAUACCAAAACUCACUCACACCCAAAUCAAAACAUUCUCCUGUCCUAGUAUAGGCGAUAGAAAAGACAUUUGGAGCAAUAGAUACCCGUACCGUAAGGGAAAGAUGAAAUAACAAUGAAAACCAAAGCAACCAAAACAGCAAAGAUAAACCCUUGUACCUUUUGCAUCAUGGUCUAGCAAGAACAACCAAACAAAACGACUUGAAGUUUGCCACCCGAAACCUGAGCGAGCUACUAACAGGCAGCUAUCCAUGAGCAAACCCGUCUCUGUUGCAAAAGAGUGGGAAGACCUAUUAGUAGAGGUGAAAAGCCAACCGAGCCAGGUGAUAGCUGGUUGCCCGUGAAACGAAUCUAARUUCACUUUUAAUUUAACUCAAAAGACCAUCAAUACUCACUCAGUACCAAAUUAAAAGCAAUUUAAANNGNNNNNNNNNNNNNNNNNNNNNNNUACAACCUUCCCAGAGGAUAAGCACCUUYUUCCCAUAUAUUGUAGGCCCUCAAGCAGCCAUCAACAAAGAAUGCGUCAAAGCUCUAACCCAAAAAAUCCAAAAACUAUGCGACUCCCUCAUCUCUAACGGGCCAACCUAUCACAAUAGGAGAAUCAAUGCUAGAAUAAGUAACUAAGGAGNCNNNCCUCCCAAGCACAAACCCACAUCCCAUAUGNNNNNNNGACUAAYCAAUACCACAAAACUCAACAAGCCCUAAUAUCAAACCAACACUGUUAACCCAACUCAGGAGUGCCCAAACAGAAAGAUUCAAGCCUGUAAAAGGAACUAGGCAAACCUAAGACCCGACUGUUUACCAAAAACAUAGCCUUCAGCCAACCAAGUAUUGAAGGUGACGCCUGCCCAGUGACACCAAGUUUAACGGCCGCGGUAUCCUAACCGUGCAAAGGUAGCGCAAUCAAUUGUCCCAUAAAUCGAGACUUGUAUGAAUGGCUAAACGAGGUCUUAACUGUCUCUUACAGGCAAUCAGUGAAAUUGAUCUCCUCGUACAAAAGCGUGGAUACAUACAUAAGACGAGAAGACCCUGUGGAACUUAAAAAUCAGCAGCCACUCUAAAUUCAAUACAAACCUACCUAGGCUCACAACAGAUCAAAAACAAUUGGCCCGCAUUUUUUGGUUGGGCGACCUUGGAGAAAAACAAACCCUCCAAAAAUAAGACCACACAUCUUAACUAAGAACAACACUUCAACGUACUAACAGUAACCAGACCCAGUAUAACUGACCAAUGAACCAAGCUACCCAGGGAUAACAGCGCAAUCCCUUCAAGAGNCCAUAUCGACAGGGGGGUUUACGACCUCGAUGUUGGAUCAGGACAUCCUAAUGGUGCAGCCGCUAUUAAGGGUUCGUUUGUUCAACGAUUAAUUAGUCCUACGUGAUCUGAGUUCAGACCGGAGCAAUCCAGGUCGGUUUCUAUCUAUGAYAAACUUUCUCUAGUACGAAAGGACCGAGAAAGUAGGGCCAAUACCACAAGCACGCCCUCCCACAAGUAAUGAACCAAUCUAAAUUACCAACAGGACCACCACCACAGUCCAAAACAAGGACC